GUCUUCCCUGGGCCUUCAAGGUCCCUGAAGGAACGUUUAAGACUAAGACGUUGAUAGGCUGGGUGUGUAAGUGCAGCGAUGCAUUGAGCUAACCAGUACUAAUGAUCCGUGAGGCUUAACCUUACAACACCGAAGGUGUUU
rnacentral:rRNA from 1 species